rnacentral:lncRNA from 1 species
CAGAAGGAAGGAUUAGAGGAUGCUGCUGUUCUUUGUAGCUGCCUCACCACUAGCCUCAGUCAUACUGGAAGACACCACCAAUAGUUUUAUUACUCUAAUGCUCAUUCUUGUUCUUACACUUAUUUGCCUGUAAGCAUUGGUCAUUCUCAGUUUAUUUUUUGAAAAAUCACUUUUUUAACCUUUUUUUCUCCUCUGUCAUUAGUUGUGUCUUGUGUGUUCUUUAUUCCUUCCAGCUACUGUUCUUUCCUUACAAAGGAUUUGACUUUUGUUAUUAUUAAGUGGAGAUGUGUAUGGAGCACAAAAAUUGGAUCCAUCUCUGGAUUCAACCUUCUCCAAAACACAGGCACAGUGCAAGACAGAGUUUGUUCAAGCUCAUGUCUGCAUGGAAAAUAUUCAAUCUUGUCUCAAGGAAGGAGUCUGCCUGGACAUGCUGUUAGGCGGAUAGCAGGAGGUUGGGUAAUAAGUCACAGCAAGGGCACCUAAUCAUCUCUAGAACGUGACAACAUUUGGUUCAGAUUCCCUUAUCAGCAUCACCUUUCCUUCUGCCUCUGCCCCAUCCUUAAAGAAGACCAGGCGGUGGGCCUUGGACAUCAGUCACACGUCGACCACUUCUUUAAACACUUCACGUGGGAAACCAUUCAGAGGCAUGAUUGCUGAGCUACAGACCUGGAAAAUAACUGUCAUCAAGACCUUUACAUCUGUCAGAGGAAUUUCAGCCCAGUGACACUGCUUUGCCCUUUUUUUUUUUUUUUUUUAUUUUAGUAAGCUCUUGGAUUUUUAUGACUUAAAACUGCUACUGCAGUGCAUUACUCUGGCAGGAGCUCUAUUUCACACAAAUUUUUACACGAUCCUUAGCCAAGAAUUAGUUACACACCUUUAAAAUAAUAAAUAUAAAAAAAUAUAAUAUCUCUAUUAUAUUGUGAAUGGUAAGUAAGAUGAAACUGUCUGCUUUGUUUCAUUUGUUCCUGUUGGUCUGUGAAAAACUCACCCUCCUCGCCAGCAUAGAUGCACCCCUACCAAGGAUGGUUUAAAUCUGAAAAUAGCCAGGAACUGGAGUGAGGACUGUGUUUGGAAGGAGUGUAGGUAGCCUUGCACUGACACAUUCGGCUUCACAGUAACACUAAGGCACAUUACUAAAAGUUUUGUUUAAGAAUCAGGACUUAAUCAUGGCGGGAUGUGGCCGACUGCAGAAACAUUAAAUUCACUCGCAUGUACCUGCAUUAAAAAAUGCAAAAUCUGUUACAAGCCUUGCCACUAUUUCACCUAUUUUUGUUUAACCUUUUAGGAUGCCAACU